UAGGACAUUGGUAGAAUGAAAAGCUGGGAAAAUUACUAUCAACACACAUAGUUUUCAGACUUUCUUAAUUUAAGCAACUGUUGUAGCACAGUCAUUGAUCCUAUCUAAAUGAAUCAGGAUCUUUUUCACAAUCUCCAGCCUCAAUGAAAUAACACUUCAUCUACAAUUAUAUUAUUAUUAUUAGAGACUCACACUGUCACCCAGGCUGGAGUGCAGUGGUGCAGUCUCGGCUCACUGCAGCCUCCGCCACCAGGGCUCAAGCGAUUUUCCUGCCUCUGCCUCCCGAGUAGCUGGGAUUACAGGCCACCGUGCCCAGCUAGUUUUUGUAUUUUUGGGUAGAGGUGGGGUUUCACAUGUUGGCCAGGUUGGUCUCAAACUCCUGACCCCAAGUGAUCUGCUCACCUUGGUCUCCCAAAGUGCUGGGACUACAGGCGUGAGCCACCAUGCCUGGCCUUCAUUUACAAUUAUUAAAAAAUACUAUGCUUCCUGAGUUGUCCAUAUUUGAAUGAGAUACUUAUGAGGAAUGUGGCAUUUUCCAUGCUUUAUUACUGAUAAAUUUUUUGGACAUUUCUGCUGCAUCAUCCAUUCUCUGUGAUAAAGAUUGUGGUACACUAACAGGGAAUAAGGAGGCCCUUGGAGAGGGAGACAGACAGAGGAACAGCCGGUUGGUAGAGCAACCAGAAGACACACAACACGUAUUGGUUAAGUUUGCUGUCUUAUAUGGGCAUGGUUUGUGGUGCUCCAAAGCAAUUACAAUAACAUCAAAGAUCAUUGGUGUAACAGAUGACCCUAACAGACAUAAUAGUACUAAAAAAGUUUGAAACAUUGCAAGAAUUAUCAAAAUGUGGCACAGAGACAGAAAGUGAGCACAUGCUAUUAAAAAGAAUGACAUCAACAGACUUGCUCGAAGAAAGGUUGCCACAAACCUUCAAUUUGUAAAAGAAGAAAAAAUACAUGUGAAGUGCAACAAAGCAAAGCACAAUGAAACAAGAGUUUAAGAUUGCUACAAUUCUAUAAGUAUUGACUGACAUCAUUAGAUUAUUAAGAAUGAAGAACUUGAAGGAAAGAUACCGUUUCCAUAUGAGCACGCUCUCCAGUUGCUUCCUGAGAAAGGGCUCAUGGAAGUUUCAUUUUCAGGAAUAUAAUUGCCGAUCCUCUGCAAAAUUCUUCAGCUAAUAUUGACUUGAAGCAACUACAAGGCUGCCCCCAGAUAGUUUCAGAUAUCUGCAGUUGGCUAAGUAACUUACAAUUAGUACACUCACUUUCUGUCUUCUAAUAUUUUGUUGGUAUCCUUUACUAUGUUCAAUCUCCUGAUAUGUUUGUCAUUGUGAGUUUGCAUAUAUACUGUAGUUUUAAAAAAUUGAUAUUGCAAUAUUUAAAUGAAUGAUAUUGCAAUAUUGACAUGGAAUAGAGAUUGGGAGAAUAAGUAUGAAGUAUGAUAAAACUACUAUGUUUAACAGGAAGUUAAUACAAUGUAUUAGUUAAAGGAUUUUACUACUAAUGCACAACCCCAAAUACCCAGAUUAUGUGACAAUUCAUAAUUUUAAAGAGGCACAUCAUAACAUUGUUAUUGUCUAUCCAGUGACUAAUUAAAGUAUAAUCUUUUUAAAUGCUUGUUUUUGAAAUUUAUAAAGUUCAUGGAUAACAGUUCAGUUGUGAUUUACUUGUAAAAUAUGUAAGGAUAGAAUCUAUUUGAGUACAUUAAUAAAUUAUUUUGGCCUUCCAUUUUGCAGUUUUUAAGGGCUGAAGAGAACACUCAAUUUUUCAUUUGUACUAUACUCCAUUACGUAUGAAAUAACAGAUGCACAUUUUUGUUGUUGUUGAAAGUUGGGGCCUCCAAAACUUUAUGACAGAUCGUUCAUAAGUUUCAUGGUUCUAAUGACUGGAAAAAUAAUACAGAACUUAAGCCAUGGAGAUUAUGGGUAGAGAGUAUAGAAUUUAUAUCACAUAAAUCAGUAUAAGAUGUUGGUGUUUUAAGAGACUGUUACUCAUUUCAUAUCCAUUACUCAGAUAGAUCACUUUAAUUUAGAAUCCUUCAACUUUAAUGAUUCUGUAAAUAAUGGGAAGGUAUA
rnacentral:lncRNA from 1 species